GGCCAAGGGAGUCAUCUAGAAAUAUCCUGCUCAUCUUGUUUGCACUGAAACUCCGCAGUCAGAGCUCUGCCCCUGAGCUAAACUCCCACAGCGUCACACAGAAGGUCUGACUGCUCUGGAUGCUUCGUAUCAAUGGGAUCACAAAAGGUACAACCUGCGGCCACAUGUCAGCAGCACGUUUCCCAGGCUCCUUGUGCUGUGCCAGCCUCUCCCUCUCAGCCAGCCUUGGACACCCAGCAGGCGGCCGUCGUGGGGGCACCCGCUGCCCAUGGAGGGGGAGCUGCAUUUGAAGUCGCCCUGAGCCAGAUGAAUAAGCUUUUCAUGGUCCCCCACCCACCCACGCUGGACUCAGCCAGAAUGUCAAAUGGCUGACACUUCUGGGAGUUUAUGCGAAGGACAGAAUGAGAGAAGGGUCAGAUGGUCACCAUGGCCUUCCUUAUCA